CCAGACUCCUACGGGAGGCAGCAGUGGGGAAUAUUGCACAAUGGGGGGAACCCUGAUGCAGCGACGCCGCGUGGGUGAAGGAGUACUUCGGUACGUAAAGCCCUAUCGGCAGGGAAGAAGCAAGACGGUACCUGACUAAGAAGCCCCGGCUAACUACGUGCCAGCAGCCGCGGUAAUACGUAGGGGGCGAGCGUUAUCCGGAUUCACUGGGUGUAAAGGGAGCGUAGACGGCCAUGCAAGCCAGGGGUGAAAGCCCGGGGCCCAACCCCGGGACUGUCCUUGGAACUGCAUGGCUGGAGUGCGGGAGGGGCAGGCGGAAUUCCUGGUGUAGCGGUGAAAUGCGUAGAUAUCAGGAGGAACACCGGCGGCGAAGGCGGCCUGCUGGACGGAUACUGACGCUGAGGCUCGAAAGCGUGGGGAGCGAACAGGAUUAGAUACCCGAGUA
rnacentral:rRNA from 1 species